rnacentral:rRNA from 1 species
ACCCCUGUGAGGAUGCCCUCAGUUUUCUCCGCCCGAGAAUGAGGAGCCGGUAUCAGGCACACCCAGCAGCCCAAGACGCCUUGCUAAGCCACACCCCUAAGGGCACUCAGCAGUAAUAAACAUUGAGCCAUAAGCGAAAGCUUGACUUAGUUAAGGCUACUAAGGGCCGGUAAAACUCGUGCCAGCCACCGCGGUUAUACGAGAGGCCCAAGUUAACAGACACCGGCGUAAAGAGUGGUCAAGGACACAACUAACUAAAGCCGAACAUCCCCCUGGCUGUUAUACGCACUCGAAGGAAUGAAGUUCAAUUACGAAAGUGGCUUUAUAUACACCUGACCCACGACAGCUAAGAAACAAACUGGGAUUAGAUACCCCACUAUGCUUAGCCAUAAACAUAGAUGUUAAGAUACAAAUAACAUCCGCCAGGGUACUACAAGCGCAGCUUAAAACCCAAAGGACUUGGCGGUAUUUCAGACCCACCUAGAGGAGCCUGUUCUAGAACCGAUAACCCCCGUUCAACCUCACCACCCCUAGUUCAUCCC